CCCCGGGUGGGGCUCCCCCCCCGCUGUUCUAACCCUAAUUAGCCGUUAACGGCUCUCGCUCACAUUCGCUGUUUUGACCGUUGACUUUCAGCGAUUCGAAUUCUUUUUUCAAAAAACGUCACCCGUGUAAUUGGGAGGUGCCUUCUCCUCCGCCUGCCGCGCCUUCUCGCCCAACUCCUUUCUCCUGAAGCGGCCAGAGCCCGACCCCCGGUAAAGAGGCCGCGGUCAGCCUGGCCCUGGGCCGCUGCUGCCGCGAAGGGUUCGGCCCUGUCAGCCUUGGGGAGCGGCGCGGCCGGCUGAAGGGCGGUUGAGGAGCUUGCGGGCGGGGACCGGCGCGAGAGCAAAACAAACCAACCGGGCGGUGCUGCGGUUCCCCGCGAGCCGGUGCCGCGCGCUCCUGAGCAGUGGGGCGCGCGGCCGACGCCGCCCGGACACAC